UGGCUAACUCCUACGGGAGGCAGCAGUGGGGAAUUUUGGACAAUGGACGCAAGUCUGAUCCAGCCAUGCCGCGUGCGGGAAGAAGGCCUUCGGGUUGUAAACCGCUUUUGUCAGGGAAGAAACGGGUUUCUCUAAUACAGAGGCCUAAUGACGGUACCUGAAGAAUAAGCACCGGCUAACUACGUGCCAGCAGCCGCGGUAAUACGUAGGGUGCAAGCGUUAAUCGGAAUUACUGGGCGUAAAGCGUGCGCAGGCGGUUAUGCAAGACAGAUGUGAAAUCCCCGGGCUCAACCUGGGAACUGCAUUUGUGACUGCAUGGUUAGAGUACGGUAGAGGGGGAUGGAAUUCCGCGUGUAGCAGUGAAAUGCGUAGAUAUGCGGAGGAACACCGAUGGCGAAGGCAAUCCCCUGGACCUGUACUGACGCUCAUGCACGAAAGCGUGGGGAGCAAACAGGAUUAGAUACCCCUGUAGUCCAGCUGG
rnacentral:rRNA from 1 species